GACGAACGCUGGCGGCGUGCUUAACACAUGCAAGUCGAACGGUAAGGCCCUUCGGGGUACACGAGUGGCGAACGGGUGAGUAACACGUGGGUAAUCUGCCCUGCACAUCGGGAUAAGCCUGGGAAACUGGGUCUAAUACCGAAUAGGACCACAGGACACAUGUCCUGUGGUGGAAAGCUUUUGCGGUGUGGGAUGGGCCCGCGGCCUAUCAGCUUGUUGGUGGGGUGAUGGCCUACCAAGGCGACGACGGGUAGCCGGCCUGAGAGGGUGUCCGGCCACACUGGGACUGAGAUACGGCCCAGACUCCUACGGGAGGCAGCAGUGGGGAAUAUUGCACAAUGGGCGAAAGCCUGAUGCAGCGGCGCCGCGUGGGGGAUGACGGCCUUCGGGUUGUAAACCUCUUUCACCAUCGACGAAGGUCCGGGUUUUCUCGGGCUGACGGUAGGUGGAGAAGAAGCACCGGCCAACUACGUG
rnacentral:rRNA from 1 species